CAGCCGCCGCGGGAAUACGUAGGUGGCAAGCGUUGUCCGGAAUUAUUGGGCGUAAAGGGCUCGCAGGCGGUUUCUUAAGUCUGAUGUGAAAGCCCCCGGCUCAACCGGGGAGGGUCACUGGAAACUGGGAAACUUGAGUGCAGAAGAGGAGAGUGGAAUUCCACGUGUAGCGGUGAAAUGCGUAGAGAUGUGGAGGAACUCCAGUGGCGAAGGCGACUCUCUGGUCUGUAACUGACGCUGAGGAGCGAAAGCGUGGGGAGCGAACAGGAUUAGAUACCCGUGUAGUCCCUGUCUCUUAUAC
rnacentral:rRNA from 1 species